UUGUUUGGACAUUUUUAAAAC
ensembl:piRNA 21ur-3755 ncRNA